rnacentral:rRNA from 1 species
CCCUUAGAUGUCCUGGGCCGCACGCGUGCUACACUGAUACGUGCAAUAAGUGCUCCUGUUCCGAAAGGCAACGGGUAAUCUAUAAUACGUAUCGUGAUGGGGAUAGAUCCUUGUAAUUAUGGAUCUUGAACGAGGAAUUCCUAGUAAGUGUAAGUCAUUAUCUUACGCUGAUUAAGUCCCUGCCCUUUGUACACACCGCCCGUCGCUCCUACCGAUUUCGAGUGGUCCGGUGAGCCAUUUGGACUAGCCUGUUUCAGGCUGGAAAAUCUAGCGAACCUUAUCACUUAGAGGAAGGAUAAGUCGUANCA